CGAUGUCGGCUCAUCGCAUCCUGGAGCUGAAGCAGGUUCCAAGGGUUGGGCUGUUCGCCCAUUAAAGCGGUACGCGAGCUGGGUUCAGAACGUCGUGAGACAGUUCGGUCCCUAUCCGUCGUGGGCGCAGGAAAUUUGAGAGGAGCUGUCCUUAGUACGAGAGGACCGGGAUGGACGGACCGCUGGUGAAUCUGUUAGACUGCCAAGUCUAUAGCAGAGUAGCCAAGUCUGGAAAAGAUAAACGCUGAAGGCAUCUAAGCGUGAAACAGACCUCAAGAUAAGAUUUCCCAAUUAAUUAAGACCCCUUGAAGACGACAAGGUAGAUAGGUUGGAGGUGGAAGUGUAGCAAUACAUGGAGCUGACCAAUACUAAUGGUACGAGGGUUUGACCUA
rnacentral:ncRNA from 1 species